GUCACGCCGUAACGAUGGAACUAGGUGUGGCGGUGUCGACUCCCGCUGUGCCGAAGCUAACGCAUUAAGUUCCCCGCCUGGGGAGUACGGCCGCAAGGCUAAACUCAAAGGAAUUGACGGGGGCCCGCACAAGCAGCGGAGCAUGUGGUUUAAUUCGACGCAACGCGAAGAACCUUACCAAGGCUUGACAUGCAUUGGAAAACCGUGGAAACACGGUCCCCCUUCGGGGCUAAUGCACAGGUGGUGCAUGGCUGUCGU
rnacentral:rRNA from 1 species